AAACCGUGUUGUGGGAAAUACCUCAAAAGGUCCUUGUAUCUCUCCCAAGCUUCAUAGAGUGUCUCCCUAUUUUGUUAGUAAAAGAUGCUAUGUUAUGCCAAAGCUU